UCGGAAGGUGCGGCUGGAUCACCUCCUUUCUAAGGAUGAGAAGUCGACACGUCGACUUCUCAUGGAGAUAUUUUAUCUCAUAGAAAUAAAUAAGGUUGGUUAUUGUUUGGACCUGUAGCUCAGGUGGUUAGAGCGCACGCCUGAUAAGCGUGAGGUCGGUAGUUCGAGUCUACUCAGGUCCACCAAUCAUGACCUAUCACCAUUUGCAAAGCAAAUGGAAUGAAGGUCAGACGUCGCGGCGUUUCAAAGUUUCGAAGAAACUUUGUCAGCAAGCCGACGAGUUUGGCAAAAGAUAGAGUCAUUAGAAACUGAACCACUUAGCAUAGCUAAGAUGAAAACUAAAUAGCAAAAAAUAUUUCCAGUCAAGAAAGAAA
rnacentral:misc_RNA from 1 species